rnacentral:rRNA from 1 species
UCGUGAAAACCGGAGGCUUAACCUCUGGCGUGCGGGCGAUACGGGCAGACUGGAGUACUGCAGGGGAGACUGGAAUUCCUGGUGUAGCGGUGGAAUGCGCAGAUAUCAGGAGGAACACCGGUGGCGAAGGCGGGUCUCUGGGCAGUAACUGACGCUGAGGAGCGAAAGCGUGGGGAGCGAACAGGAUUAGAUACCCUGGUAGUCCACGCCGUAAACGGUGGGUACUAGGUGUGGGUUUCCU